UACGGAGGGGGCAAGUGUUUCUCGUAAUGACUGGGCUUAAAGGGCUCGGAGGUUGUUUUUUCGGAAAAAAACUUUAAAGGCUUUCAGCCAUGAAAGAAUAGUUUUUUUAAAUGAAAAAGCUAGAGUUGUGCUCAGGUUUAUAGAAUUCCUACAGGAGGGGUAGAAUCCGGCGAGAAUAGGAGGAAUGCCACUAGGUGAAAGCAGUUUUCCAGAGUCAACUGACGCUAGAGUGCGAAAGCAUGGGGAUCAAACAGG
rnacentral:rRNA from 1 species